CAAUAUUUAGUAUCUUUAACAUUUGUUCUACAUUUGUGCUAUUGCAGAAAAUGUAUGAAAGGCCUGGUCUUGUUGGACAGAUUGGGCUAAUUGAUUUAAUUGGACAGCUGUUCACACCUGCUCCUUCAGUAGCAGUGACUCCUGCCCUGACACCAUCAGUAUGAGUGGCUUCCAGAAGCUGCCAGCAUUCCUUGGCUAUGAUCCCCUUCUAUCUUCAAAGCCAGCAAUGAUCAAGCGAGUCUUUUUUUUUUUAUGAUGAC